GCAAUUCAUUUCCAUAACUGCUGUGGGUUUGCUAUACUGGGUCAGGUCAGUGUUUUGUUGUUGUUUUUUUUUUAAUGUAUAGUAUGUUUUAAAUCAUCUCCUUAGGAGGCAGAACUAAAUUUGUGACUAAAGACUCUGUUUUUUAAGGCGGGCAUACUUGAGAACUAUUUUUGUUGAGUCUAGCUUGGUCUUACAGUCUUGCAAUCAAUAUAGGUAAUCUCAGGUGGGUGAAGUCAGAAUAACCUUUGUCCUGUCCUAACUGUAAAGUCAAAAUAAUCUUUAACCAUCUUUCUGUUACAUUCACACGAGUGAAACUCAGUGUGUCUGGUAAACUUUGACAAGGUAAAGCUGAGUUCUCAGCACUAAAUAUCUCUUCUUUGGAAGGCCUCGGUGUAUCUGUGAUCUCACAAAGAGUAGAUUGCAGAUUUCUGAGAAUGAGCAGUUCCAUUAGUUUGUAACAGGGAUAAGGGAGAACUGACUGUGGAGCAAAGAUGAGAAGAUGGACCAAAAAUGAUAAGGAAAGACUCCUGGUGUCUGUGGGAGGUUCCCUGAAGACGUGGUGGAUAAGUCAACAGACUGGAGAGGGCAAGCCAACCAGUUUGCAAAUAAUAUCCUUCUGAGAUCAAAGCCUGUCAUUAUGGCAGAAUUGUUCUGCUAAUGCAAAUGUGACUCGUGUUUCAAAGACAACUUAUUUAUUUAUUUAUUUAUUUAUUUUUGUUGGGAGCAACAUCUUUGCGAGGCAACGCUGUCUGUGUAGCUAUAGCAGCAAUUUAUUCGGUGCGUGACCCAGUGAUGACGUGGGGGAAUUUUGCCUGAUGCAAUGGAGAAUGUGAGAUGUUGACAACUUUCCCAACAGUGGCUCAUCAGCGGAGACCUGCAUGGUGCCUGGGCAUGGAUAUGAGGAGGAUUUAACAUCGGCAGUAAGAUGAGACACAGUAAAGGGAAUCCUCAACAUGUCUUUCUUUCCCUCUGUCCUUGUUAUCAACCAUAGGAUAAGUGCAAGCACUGAUGUUUGACAGCAACUGGGAAUAGUUUCUCUCAUAUGGACUUUUGCUUGUCUAACAGGAAAUAGGUGAGCACCUGACUUCUAACAGAAAGGAGUUAGUUUACCCAGCAAUUAUGUGUCUCCUAACUACUGCUUGGUAUUUAAAGAGAUGAUUUGGUGUUGAGGAAAACAGAUAUGCUUCAGAUAUGGGGCGGAUGAGGCCUCAGAUGCGUGGGUACAAUGCUGUGGGACCCAAGCCUGCUGCAGAACCUAUAAGAGCUGAAAAAAAAGCCAUACUUAGGACUGGGAGCUCACAAAUAGCCUGUCCAGCUCUGGAAACAAUGGAUUCACAAAACUUCUGGAAAAAAUGUCCUACAUCUGGUUAGUGUGCAUCACAGUUCUAUAACAAUAACGCUUUGUUGGAAGGCACAGUGCUAAAAACUAGGAUGCGAGCAGAGAAGAAACAUCAAAGUGAUACUGUGGAGAGGAUUUUGGUGUAAAGUAAAGCAAGGAUCCAAGAAGUAUAAAACCUUCAAGCAGGGAGAGGACAAGGAUGGAUAUCACCGGGACUAUCAGGAAGCAGAAGAUAAAAGAAGUUCAAGCUUUACACUUUGUAUGUGGAGCUUCAGAUCCUGAAGGGAAAACGUCAGGCUUCUCAUGUUAAAAUAAUGGGUUUUCAUGACUGUAGAAUGCAACAAGGCAUAGGUCUUGGCAGAUCUUAUUUACGGGCAGUUUUGGUCAGACCAUGCCCGUGUGGAUGCCCGUAUGUCCUUCAAGGUUGAUCUGUAAGCACGUUGACGACGUUCAACUAAAUGAAAAAGGAUUGAAAUC
rnacentral:lncRNA from 7 species